AUUUGUUUUAAUAAGCUCUAGGCCCAACACGGGGCUUGAAUUCACGAUCCUGAGAUCAAGAGUCACAUGCUCUACCAACUGAGCUAGC
rnacentral:snoRNA from 1 species